rnacentral:sRNA from 13 species
UUCAAUAAUCCUAUCCAGGGUUGUAUACCUCCCGUCUGUAGGCGUGCUGGCGCUGGUGCC